rnacentral:rRNA from 1 species
UACAGAGGUCCCAAGCGUUGUUCGGAUUCACUGGGCGUAAAGAGUGUGUAGGCGGUGUUCUAAGUCUGUUGUGAAAUCUCCCGGCUUAACUGGGAGGGUGCGGCGGAAACUGGAAUGCUAGAGGAUGGGAGAGGUAAGCGGAAUUCCUGGUGUAGCGGUGAAAUGCGUAGAUAUCAGGAGGAACACCUGUGGUGUAGACAGCUUACUGGACCAUUUCUGACGCUGAGACACGAAAGCGUGGGUAGCAAACAGG